rnacentral:rRNA from 1 species
CCCCACUGCUAUCGGGGUGGGACUAAAACAUGCAAGUCGAGCGCCUCCAAGCUAUGGUGAAGGCGCGGCAAACGGCUCAGUAACACGUGGCCAACCUACCCUUGGGACGGAGACAACCCCGGGAAACUGGGGCUAAUCCCCGAUAGGUAAGGAAUCCUGGAAUGGAUCUUUGCUGAAAGGGCGUCUAGACCAUGCUUCUUGACGUCGCCCAAGGAUGGAGCCGCGGCCGAUCAGGUAGUUGGCGAGGCAACGGCUCACCAAGCCUAUAACCGGUACGGGCCGUGAGAGCGGGAGCCCGGAGAUGGGCACUGAGACAAGGGCCCAGGCCCUACGGGGCGCAGCAGUUGCGAAAACUCCGCAAUGCGCGAAAGCGUGACGGGGCUACCCCGAGUGCCGCCCGUUGAGGGCGGCUUUUCCACGGUGUAAGGAGCCGUGGGAAUAAGGAGAGGGCAAGACUGGUGUCAGCCGCCGCGGUAAUACCAGCUCUCCGAGUGGUGGGGACGAUUAUUGGGCUUAAAGCGUUCGUAGCCGGCUUAACAAGUCUUCCGUUAAAUCCAACGAUCUAAUCGUUGGGCUGCGGGAGAUACUGUUGGGCUAGGAGGCGGGAGAAGCCGACGGUAUUCUCGGGGUAGGGGUGAAAUCCUGUAAUCCCGGGAGGACCACCAGUGGCGAAGGCGGUCGGCUAGAACGCGCUCGACGGUGAGGGACGAAAGCUGGGGGAGCGAACCGGAUUAGAAACCCGGGUAGUCCCAGCUGUAAACGAUGCGGGCUAGGUGUUGGGGUGGCCACGAGCCACUUCAGUGCCGCAUGGAAGCAAUUAAGCCCGCCGCCUGGGGAGUACGGCCGCAAGGCUGAAACUUAAAGGAAUUGGCGGGGGAGCACCACAAGGCGUGAAGCUUGCGGUUU